rnacentral:lncRNA from 1 species
GGGCAUAUGAGCUUGAAUCUAACUGCACGUGGGUUCGAUUCACCAUGUGAGAGCUAAAUUUUGAUGUUGAAAAGCUUGAUUUGGAGAUAUGCUGGUUCAAUUUUGCAACAGCAAGUCAACGACAGAUAACGAGUGCCACACAACUGCUUGUGCAGGGAAGUCAAAGGGGAGCAGCUCGUGCACAGGAGAAGUAGCAGAUGGCGGAAGCAGAACCAGAGGUCCGGAGAGGCGAUUCCUCGGCAGUGUGUAGGCCGUUAGCUAGCAUAGCUCAUCCACAUGGAACGAUGAGAGGGCGGAGCUGCUCAUCAUGGGAGGAAGACGGUGGAACACGAGCAGGUAUUAGAG